AAAACUUCAAAAAUAGGUCUCAGUUCGGACUGUAGGCUGCAACUCGCCUACACGAAGUUGGAAUUGCUAGUAAUCGUGGAUCAGCAUGCCACGGUGAAUACGUUCCCGGGUCUUGUACACACCGCCCGUCACACCAUGGGAGCUGGUAACACCCGAGGUCAGUAGUCUAACCGCAAGGAGGACGCUGCCGAAGGUGGGAUUAGCGAACUGGGGUGAAGUCGUAACAAGGUAAC
rnacentral:rRNA from 1 species